rnacentral:rRNA from 1 species
AUUGAACGCUGGCGGCAGGCCUAACACAUGCAAGUCGAGCGGAUGAAGGGAGCUUGCUCCUGGAUUCAGCGGCGGACGGGUGAGUAAUGCCUAGGAAUCUGCCUGGUAGUGGGGGAUAACGUCCGGAAACGGGCGCUAAUACCGCAUACGUCCUGAGGGAGAAAGUGGGGGAUCUUCGGACCUCACGCUAUCAGAUGAGCCUAGGUCGGAUUAGCUAGUUGGUGGGGUAAAGGCCUACCAAGGCGACGAUCCGUAACUGGUCUGAGAGGAUGAUCAGUCACACUGGAACUGAGACACGGUCCAGACUCCUACGGGAGGCAGCAGUGGGGAAUAUUGGACAAUGGGCGAAAGCCUGAUCCAGCCAUGCCGCGUGUGUGAAGAAGGUCUGCGGAUUGUAAAGCACUUUAAGUUGGGAGGAAGGGCAGUAAGUUAAUACCUGGCUGUUUUGACGUUACCAACAGAAUAAGCACCGGCGAACUUCGU